AACAGAACCAGGAGGGGGCGACCAGGGGUUUCUCCACAAACCCUAAUUCUCACAAAAUCCUUCAAAUUGAAGCUCAAAUCAAGCCCGAAUCGUCUGCAUGAUUACAAAUUCGUGAUCUCCAUUGAAAGGGGAGUCAUAAGUUUGACUCUUGACGAGCUAGGUGAAGCUUGGAGGAGAAGAUCAAACGGGAUAAAGGAACGAAUAAGACUUGCUUGGAUGAAAGGUAAGUAAAACUACACCCACUUGUAGUAUAUGUGUUUAUUUCAUAACGAUGAAUACAAUAAAGGAUUUGGUUUGAAUCAUGGGUUCCGACCCAAAACGAAAUGAGUCAGAACCAACAAAAAUGUUUUAAACCAUGAU